AUCUAAUGGAGAACCCAUAUAAUAUGAGCUUAUUUGGAUCCCACAGAACCACUAGAGGUAGUUGGGGGGAUCAUUUUCAUUCCAGAGGCGCAUCCACUAAGUCUCACAUUAGCUUUAGGUCAGUCUAUGAAUGGCCCAUCUUUAGCCUCCCCAAACAAAAAAUUCACCCCCUGCCUAUGAGGACACGGCUCAGGUAUCAAGAGAAGUCACAGCACCAUCCGUAGAAUCAAUUUAAAAAGUCUUUAUUGGUUUACAUGGCUGGAAUGUCCAACAAGCAACAACGUUUAGGCACAAACACGGCCCUUUCUCAAGCGACUGAUCACUUUGAGGUCAUAUAGUUUUAUACUAUUUUAUACAAUGUCCAUCUACAGGCCAAAGGGGAAGAAUACAAUCUAACAAAAAUCAGUGGGGCACAAGGGGUACAGUCGUACCAGGCCUGUGCCUAAAGGAAGGCCCGACUGUGUUGCACUUUUCAAAUUAGCCGGGCCCCCCUUGAUAGCGCCAAAGUGAUGCGCAAAGUCCUGAGCCGCCAAAGAAAGGGUUGCCACCUCCUGUCCCGUGGAACUCUGGGAUGUAAUGGGGGUGGGUCUGUGAUGCAGCAGGGGAGGGUCCAUGAUAUCAGAGGCGGAGCUAUGAUGUGGCAAUCAGUGAUUGGGAGCCUGAGAUGAAUAAAAUACAGGAGGAAAUUGCUGGUGUUAAAGGAACAAUACACAGACCAAGUCCUAUUUGAAAUAUCGCUGAAUAAUGUUCAUUAUUCAAUGGAAAAGUUAAAAAUUAAUAUUUUUUUUGUGAUGAAAACUCAAUAAAUUUGAGUGAGACACAAGGAAUUAUGCCGCUGGUAAAGUGUGUGCCUGGAAAGAAAGGUCCCUGAGGCAGUAACGCAUUUAGAAGUUUGAACUGCCGGGACACCGUAGACCAUGUGAUGCACAGAGAGAGAAGCGCCAUGCUGGGAGGUCACAAUGGAGCUCCAGCCAUUUAGAGGACUUCCCACACAGCGGCAUGGAGGAGCGCAAUCAGCAUCAGCUGGGGGUGGGGGAGAGAGAGGUCACACGGUAGAUCCCGGCAUCACAGGGGCAUCGGCACAAGUGGAGUCACACAGAGGAGAUCCCAAAGGAAGCCUAUAGCUCAGCAGUGUUUCUGUCCCUAGAGCAGACACAGCUCCAACAUAAGGGUGAAAUGGUGGUGUCCAUACUCAAUGAGAUACGAGUGACCCCACGGUGCUUAGAGAAAGUGGUUCCAGCACUUCAGUCCAUGGCUGAUUAUUCCUCCGAUCUCUGCCAACUUCUGCCUUUAAUGCUACAGAUGGACCCUGAGAAGCGCUGUACUGUAAAGUCCACUUUAAUGCUGGUGCCCAGGUACUGGUCAAGGAAUGACUGGGGCCUAGGAAUCCUGCCUGAAGUUUCCAGCAAGCACCACUAGGGGGAGGUUGUGGAGGUCGAUCUGCGGGAACUGAACGUCCUCGGGUUGGAGGAGACCCACUGGGCACCAGACGCUAGAGCCUUCUUCAUGCUGCAGCCUGCAAUGGAUAGAAGGAAUUAGCCAAUCUCUUGCUGCCAUACACCUGUGACUCCCAGCUGUAAGCCCACACCAGGGUGCUGGGAGUUACCUAUGGAAGCUCAUUGGAAGACAAGCUGGUACCUUGAGUACUGGGGGCCGAUAGAUUUGUACCACUGGCUGGACCCUGUAAUAUCCUCAUCCCGUAUGGUGCGGUCGUGCAUGCCCAACGCAGAGGCACGAGACUUUGGGAAGGAACAUACGGCUCAUUUAACCCAAUUUUACAGAUCUGGGGUGUGUGCCAACAGACUGGCAUAUACAACUCACCAGGGAUCACUGCACACUUGGCACACCCACUAAGAAGAGCCAAUAGGAAGAAGCAGCGGAACAUCUUGUGGAUCUGAUAGGUGCACAGACUCUGGGUGGUCGCCCAAUCAGGUCCAGAGCUGCUGCCCACACUCACCUACAUCUCUAUUGAGAAUAACAACAGGAUCAUUAGUCCCGCCUACCCCUGGGUGUGAACCACUGGCAACUGUGCCCAUAUACAGCCUAGCAUCUGCCCAGUGAUCAUGCACCAAAGGCACCCACCCCUCUCCAUUGCACGGCUCCCUAUAGGUUUCCAGUGGUGGGGACCCCAUUUAGCCCGAGACCCACUGCACACUAUGAGCAGAUUAUUUUUUCAUGCUGCACUAUGUAUCUGUGCCAGCAGGUGGGACCCUGCUACUUUAUAUGGUGAGAAUUAGAUGCCCAAGAGAUUGCCUCUGGCCUACAGAGCUUACAUCUUAACUGCACUAAAUUUGGUGCAUGAGACGCAGCACGUUUAUGACUGUAUCUAACAUACUGUAUCCAGCAUUGGUCCAAUUGCACUCUAAUAGUCCCCACCCUCUUUCUCCUGCCCAAUAUUAAUAUAAUAAAGCCUACAGCUUCUGUGCUUGGUUGGACUUCUAAUUUAGUAAGCAGGGGAUGCUGGGAGUUGUAGUUAAGUAAAAAAUAGAAACAAUAUGAAGAAAGGAUUGUUUGUUGGAAUAGAUUUUACAAGGGGUUAAUAGCCAACAAGGGAUUUAUAUACUGUAAAUGGGGGGUCCAUUGAAAUAAUCGCACCCCCCCAACCUGUGAUUAGGAAACGUGUUUGUCUUCAUCUUGUGAUUCUAUUGAAGGUUCUGAUUCCUAGAAAUGUGUUGCAAGUGCCCCCUUAUUCCAACCACAUGUUCCUGCACCCCCAGGGGAUGUGUGCGCUCCAAGCCUGCACCAAAUGACUGCUGGCAAGUGUCCCCUAGCAACAGUGUCCUCUAGCAACAGUGGCCCCUAGCAACAGUGGCCCCUAGCAACAGUGGCCCCCCCAGUGCAAUGCUUUAGGCCCUACACACUGAUGGCGUAUUAUUGAAAGCCUUUGUUCGCCCCAUUAUUAUCAUUCACAUGAGAGUUGUAUCUGCCGGGAGUAGCAACCAUUAUAUUCCGGGGGCAUGGGAACUUUUUCUAGGGAUUUAUACAAAUUCCACUUAUUUAAUAUACAAGUGGUCCAUAGUCUCAGUCAUAGCUCCUUGUACUUGGCAGAGGAACUGGCGCUUGAUUCAGAGGGAAACUGACCCAGGAGGAGGUAAAUAAUUAUUAAUAUCAUUAAUAUCUCCUCCUAUUAAUGUGAUGAGCUGUCCAACAUUAAUGAGCCUCUACACUGUAACCAUUGUUAUCACUGGGAAACUUUUUAUACCUUCAUCCAGUUAAACAUGUGUGAGAGGUGAAAGGUGAAUAAAUAGCAACAGGUAAUGAAUCCUUGGGAAUGUUACUGAUGUGCGUGUAUUGUGGGUAUAAAGGGGGUAUAAGGCACCCCAUAAUGACGUGAAAGCCAUUAGAAAACAGAAUAUAAAGUAUAUAAAGAAUAUAAAGUAAGUGGAUAAAGGGGGAGCAGCGGUGAUGAAUAGGAGAGAUUAUUUAGCAAAGUCUAUAUGCCUCAAUCCUGCAAGAAGAAGGGACGUGGGUGUGUGGGGGAAUUUGUGGUUCAGGUAGGUGAGACCAUAGGCCACAGCACAGAUUAAGUUCACAAAUGGAGUCAGACACCACCUUUAUAAAUGUUCAAUGCAGCUUGGCUGACUUUUAUUAGGAACAAAAUCAUCCAAUUCAUCACACUCUUUACAUAAGAAUUAGCAGUCCCAGUCCAACACCCACAUUGGGGUACACAGUAACACUGGUUAAUCACAACUUUAUGUCUGAGAAGAACUGAGUCGUUGGAUUCCUAUUUCCCAGCAACUGAAUAGGAGGGAGAAAAAUGAGAGUGAGUAGCAGGCAGAUAAUGGCAGAUGUUAUGAAGAAUGCAGAGGAGGGAUGAGACUUACCUGUGGUGCCAGAUGUUAUAGUAUUGGCCACUUUCCUGCUCAUCCCUGGCAGCAUAAUAAUAAUCUCUGAGUUUACAAAAAGUUAUUAUUAUGGGAUGACCAGGAAAGGGGAAAAUCAUAUCAUACUUACCUAGAUUUUCUUUUCCUGAUCCUUCACAUGACAGUGGGCACCGUUGGGACCUUCCCAAGAAGAACAUCUAUAUUUAGGGAGGGAAUAACAAGAGGUUAAGCCCCGUACAGGCUACUGCCCCUACUAAUCAGAGCCGCUACCUCGGAGCAAUAGCAACUUUAUUUUUGUGGCCAAGGUAAAGUGCACAGCCGCUAUACUGCAAUGAAAGAACAGCAGAAGUUCCUUAAAUAAAGACCAUGUUGCAAUUUCAGAGUGAAAAGUAGAAUCCAAUUAACGAGGAAUUACAUAAUUGUCCUGAUAAUGAUAUUGACCUAAAUAUCGAUAACCACUGAAUAUACUCACCUCUCUUGAAGUAUUUUAGGGUUCAGCACUAAAUGAAGGAAAUGAAGGAGUAAACUUACAGUUUGAGGUGCAGAACUGGAUAAAAUAACUUUCAACUGUUGCAAGAUAAAUUCAUACAUUUUAAAGUUACAAGUAAUAUAAGAAGAGAAAAUUGUGAGCAGACUAGAAGAUAAUGCAUUAGACAGAGUAACCAUAUAGACUGUCACAUAUAGUAACCUAAACACCGGGGAGCGACUGGAUUCCUGUCUCGUGAGCUCUUCUGCCUAUAAAAUCUCUUUGGCUUUGUGCCCGGCCCUUGGCUAAUCGGAUACCGCCAGGACUUAUUGCCUGAGAAUCCAACAACUGCCACCGGGGCCACAAGAGAGUCCUAACAAAUAAUCAGGGAAUGGAGCCCAAACACAAGGGCUGGACUUAGACUGGCCCGGGUCACAAACAGAUAACAGGAUCAGAAUUGUGAGGCAACUGAAGGAACAAGCCGGGGUUUAAACCAGGAAUGUCCCAGGGGACAAGAACAGGAGCCAAAGGAACCCCAGUUAGAGGAACAGAGCACCUGGGACUAAGUACACUUGACUUAUAACAGGCAGUGAGUCGGUGCAGUGCAGGGAGUUAUAGAGCCAAUCUAAUGGCUAAUACUGAGCACCUGUGGCCACAUAGAACACCAGGUUCCCUGUUCAACUCCCCGCAGGAUGCCCCCCCAGACACAAGGUAGGUCUCCACUCAGUACCCUCAUGUAUUGAUGUCAUUUAUAAGCAGCACAUUUAUAGCUAGAACUACAUGCAACAUAGUGAUGCCAAAGCAACAAUAAUAUACAAUGAGUGUAUGUAAUAUAGACACUAAGUAUACUAAGUACCAACUGUAAUAAUAUAGCAAGAUUGUGCAUUCUAAUUCUAUGAUUAACUUAACAUAGUGAAUAGGGACACAUGAAACCCCCUGUACUGCGGCACCCACUAUUAAUACUGAGUAUCUGUGUCACUUUACCAAUUCACACUGAUUUUUUUCUACUCCGUGGUUGUAACCGGGACUUAGGGGGUAAUUAGAGAAGAAGCCGACCCCUCAGCUGCAGGAGAACCAGCGACCCCUCCCCAGUGAGGAACCAACAAAACAUUCUCCUGGAAGGAUUUGGACUUGUGUUUUAGCCGACUCCAAUUGGGAGAGAUUUCCUGGGUCUCCUACAACAGAGCCGUGGAGUUGGCAGUGGAUGGAGCACGUGGUUGUGUGUGAAUGGCAGCUUGACUCUGUGUGUGUCAGUUGAAUAAGGUUCUUCCACCCAAAAUGGCAGCUUCCUUCUGUGCAAUCAUUGAUCAAUAUUUGUCUGGUGUUGGCAUCCAGGGAGAUGGGCCUCACACUUAACCUUGUAUAUGCUGGACACGGGAACGUUCAGGUCUCUGCACAAGGACCUGUAGCUUUGAGAUGCUCCUCAUUCAUUACAUACACUUUCUCCCACACAAAGCUGCAGGAAUGGGGCACAAUUUGAACAUAUUAUCCAGAUCCAGACCAGCCUCUAUGGAGGCCCCAUUAAACCACAUCUCAGUUUUAUUAACUCUGCAGUGACAAUUCUCUCUGCUCAAGGCUCUCCAUAGCCUGUAAGGGAGCAAUCAUUUCCAGGUUAUACAAAUUCCCAACUGUGUCACGUAGAGCUGGGCUUUUCCCAACUGUUGUGCCUCCUGGAGAAACCCAAGCUGAAGGCUGGAGAAGCCUCUUGUUUUCUCUAACAAAUGGGCAGUGUUAGUGAGCAGCUCAGAGACUCCAUGGUUGGCAGUGUUUGCCUCUUCCUCUAUGUGUUUGCUAUGGAGUGUCGGGUCAAUACCAUAUAAAUAAGGGAGAGGGAGUUGUUGAUGUGACGUGGUGGCCUAGUGGAUAAUGCAUUUGGCAUAGAUUGUUGUGAUCUUGAGUUUGAAUUCAGCCUUAGUUGUGUUUGAAAUAUGUCGUUUGUCUUUAAAGUGCUGAAUAAACAUGUUGAUGAUGUUGAUACAAAAGACAAUGCUCAUCUGUUGGGUGGCACAGUGACUCCUGUGGAGCAGGAAAUGUGGGACAGGUCUGAGGUUUGUAUUCAGCUGUAGCAGGAUAAUCCAUGAUAAAUUUACCAAAACCAACAUUGAAUCUUGUGUGGCAAGGUGGCUCAUGGGGUAGCACUCCUGCUUAGUUGAGUCUGUGGGCCAAAGGACUUGGGUUUGAUUCCAGGCAUAGCAGCGAUUGAAAAGUGCCUUUUCUCUUUAAAGUGCUGAA